rnacentral:misc_RNA from 1 species
GAUGAAGAACGCAGCGAAAUGCGAUAAGUAAUGUGAAUUGCAGAAUUCAGUGAAUCAUCGAAUCAUUGAACGCACAUUGCGCCCGCCAGUAUUCUGGCGAGCAUGCCUGUUCGAGCGUCAUUUCAACCAUCAAGCCCCAGGCUUGUGUUGGAGCCCUGCGGCUGCCGCAGCCUCCCAAAACCAGUGGCGGGCUCGCUAUCACACCGAGUGCAGUAGUUUACUCUUCGCUCAGGGCGUGUGGCGGGUGCUAGCCGUGAAACCCCCAACUUCUCAAGGUUGACCUCGGAUCAGGUAGGAAUACCCGCUGAACUUAAGCAUAUCAAUAAGCAGAGGA